rnacentral:misc_RNA from 1 species
UUCAUUAUCACUACUUGGAACUGGUCAGUUGCUAUCAUAUCAUACUAAAAUUGUGCCAGAAAGGAAGUAUCUAUGGAUUGAAAUUAUGAAGCAUACAAAUGUGCUAGGAUGCCAGCUGUAUAUCUGUAAAAGCUCUUACUAUUUGUUGAGUCCAAGUCCAAAUAAGAUUAGGAAUUAGAGUUAAAAUUUAUUUAGGAAGUUAAAGAAAAAAAAAAGAAAAGAAUUAAAAUAAUUCUGUCUUGGUUUUUUAAGUCAAAAUCUAACUAGAACGUGGUUAGGUCACCAUGCCAUGUGCCUGUAAAAGGAGAUUUUCUCCUUUCUUGAAGGUGUGCAGCAAUUAGAGAGCUGGCAUCUUGAGAAAGUUUUGUUCAGCGUGUGUGCAGUGGUAGUGACAUUAAAAUUGCAAGGCAAUUCUAUGUGUGUGGUGAGUUAGAAAUCCAAGUGAUUAAAAGUUUGUGACUGACAGUGUUUGAGAGAUGUUAGUGGUUGUAAUUAUUUUUUUUCUUGAUAGUGGAUUGUUGUGGAGUAGGCUUUUGCCAAACUACUUAAAUUUUGUUUUCUUCAAAUUUGUCAGGUUAUUUUCAUAACAAUAUUAUUACUAUCAUCGCCAAGUGUGAUGUAUUUAACAGCACAAGCAAACAGGUUUGUGGGGACUGGGGAUAAUGUGAAGGAAUUUUUUCCCCCUGGUAGAUAAAAGGAAACAUCUUCCCAAUCUUAAUAGCUGAUGUAUUUUUGAGCUAAGCAAAUACUACGUUUGACUCUUGAUGGUUAUGCAAAUGAUAUUUAAACUAGUAUGAAGUCCUUAGGUUUACUUGGCUUGUUGCUUGAAUUUAGCUAGCAUCAUUGCUUCAAUUGCGUGCAAUAAAUGUCAGGAUUUAGGAAGAAUGUUUUGACAAUUGUUAGUGUUAAGAUCUAUGUCAUGAGUUCUUAGAUUAUAGUUGUAGAUUGCAUGAAAUUUUUUGUGGUCUGCAAUAAAUUUCAGGAUACAGAGAGAAGGUCUUUGCA